UAAGGAAUAUUGGUCAAUGGACGCAAGUCUGAACCAGCCAUGCCGCGUGAAGGAUGAAGGUCCUCUGGAUUGUAAACUUCUUUUGUCUGGGACGAAAACGGGAUUUUUAUCUCAAUUGACGGUACCAGAGGAAUAAGCACCGGCUAACUCCGUGCCAGCAGCCGCGGUAAUACGGAGGGUGCGAGCGUUAUCCGGAUUUACUGGGUUUAAAGGGUGCGUAGGUGGGCUUAUAAGUCAGUGGUGAAAUCUCCGAGCUUAACUUGGAAACUGCCGUUGAUACUAUAGGUCUUGAAUUAUCUGGAGGUAAGCGGAAUAUGUCAUGUAGCGGUGAAAUGCUUAGAUAUGACGUAGAACACCAAUUGCGAAGGCAGCUUACUACAUAUAAAUUGACGCUGAGGCACGAAAGCGUGGGGAUCAAACA
rnacentral:rRNA from 1 species